AGUGAACGCUGGCGGUAGGCCUAACACAUGCAAGUCGAACGGCAGCACAGUAAGAGCUUGCUCUUACGGGUGGCGAGUGGCGGACGGGUGAGGAAUACAUCGGAAUCUACUUUUUCGUGGGGGAUAACGUAGGGAAACUUACGCUAAUACCGCAUACUACCUACGGGUGAAAGCAGGGGAUCUUCGGACCUUGCGCGAUUGAAUGAGCCGAUGUCGGAUUAGCUAGUUGGCGGGGUAAAGGCCCACCAAGGCGACGAUCCGUAGCUGGUCUGAGAGGAUGAUCAGCCACACUGGAACUGAGACACGGUCCAGACUCCUACGGGAGGCAGCAGUGGGGAAUCUUGGACAAUGGGCGAAAGCCUGACCCAGCCAUACCGCGUGAGUGAUGAAGGCCUUCGGGUUGUAAAGCCCUUUUGUUGGGAAAGAAAAGCAGCAGAUAAAUACGCCGACGUCCUGACGGUACCCAAAGAGUAAGCAACGGCUAACUUCGUG
rnacentral:rRNA from 1 species